rnacentral:rRNA from 1 species
AGAUUGAACGCUGGCGGCGUGCCUAACACAUGCAAGUCGAGCGGUAACAGGUGUAGCAAUACAUGCUGACGAGCGGCGAACGGGUGAGUAAUGCUUUGGAAUCUUCCCAGUAGUGGGGAAUAACCAGUCGAAAGAUUGGCUAAUACCGCAUACGUCUGUAAAGGGAAAGCGGGGGCUCGUAAGACCUCGCGCUAUUGGAUGAGCCAAAGUCGGAUUAGCUAGUUGGUGGGGUAACGGCCUACCAAGGCGACAAUCCGUAGCUGGUCUGAGAGGACGACCAGCCACACCGGAACUGAGACACGGUCCGGACUCCUACGGGAGGCAGCAGUGGGGAAUAUUGGACAAUGGGGGAAACCCUGAUCCAGCGACGCCGCGUGUGUGAAGAAGGCCUGCGGGUUGUAAAGCACUUUAGUGGGGACAAAAGCUACGGAUUAAUACUCUGUGGUCUUGAUUUAACCAAAGUAAAAGCACCGGACUAACUCUGUGCCAGCAGCCGC